GCGCCUGUAGCUCAGAGGAUAGAGCGGCCGCCUUCUAAGCGGCGGGUCGCGGGUUCGAAUCCUGCCAGGCGUACCG
rnacentral:tRNA from 1 species